GAAAACCUACAACUGCUACCAUGAGGGCAAGAGCUUCCAGCUGAGACACCGUGAGGAAGAAGGGACUCUGAUCAUCGAGGGGCUCCUCAACAUUGCCUGGGGGCUGAGGCGGCCCAUCCGGCUGCAGAUGCAGGAUGACCGGGAGCAGGUGCACCUCCCCUCCACCUCAUGGAUGCCCGGAUGGCCCAGCUGCCCUCCGGCCCCUGGAGGAGGCAGAGGAGGCCCCCCAGCUGAUGCGGACCAAGAGCGACGCCAGUUGCAUGAGCCAGAGGAGGCCCAAGUGCCGCACCCCCGGUGAGGCCCAGCGCAUCCGGCGACACCGGUUCUCUAUCAACGGCCACUUCUACAAUCAUAAGACCUCCGUGUUUACUCCAGCCUACGGAUCCGUGACCAAUGUGAGGGUCAACAGCACCAUGACAACCCUGCAGGUGCUCACCCUGCUGCUGAACAAAUUUAGGGUGGAAGAUGGCCCCAGUGAGUUCGCACUCUACAUCGUUCACGAGUCUGGGGAGCGGACAAAAUUAAAAGACUGCGAGUACCCGCUGAUUUCCAGAAUCCUGCAUGGGCCAUGUGAGAAGAUCGCCAGGAUGUUCCUGAUGGAAGCUGACUUGGGCGUGGAAGUCCCCCAUGAAGUCGCUCAGUACAUUAAGUUUGAAAUGCCGGUGCUGGACAGUUUUGUUGAAAAAUUAAAAGAAGAGGAAGAAAGAGAAAUAAUCAAACUGACCAUGAAGUUCCAAGCCCUGCGUCUGACGAUGCUGCAGCGCCUGGAGCAGCUGGUGGAGGCCAAGUAACUGGCCAACACCUGCCUCUUCCAAAGUCCCCAGCAGUGGCAGGUGUACAUUGAUCCCUGGUUGCUGGCCCCGGGCGGUCACAUUGACUGAUGGCCACCGCC
rnacentral:sRNA from 1 species